UUUGUGCUUUUGUACAUUACCUUCGCGGCUCCGCUUGAGAGUUGGACUCUUUUUGUUGUUGUUGUAGUUUUUGCUCGUUUUUCGUUACAGAAAAACCUCAGAGCAGUGUGCUCAGCUUCGUUGAUUAUGAUUCAUUCGUCACAUUCGGUGGAUUCAGCAGCAGCAGCAGCAGCAGCAGCAUAUGAGUGGAGUGGGGUCUGAGAAAGGGGGUGUCAUAAAGCCAUGUCUGUGCCCGGGCCGCGGCGUAGAGCAGAGAGCUUUACCUUUCUGGCCAGGCAGAUCUGGGAAAGAAACCGGAGAGUGGAAAAUCAAUAAACUUGAUAGUGCAUCGUCGUUCGUUUGCUGAGAAAUAUACAUCACGUAUUCUCUCGCACACGCACAUGCAGCCUUUUGAGCUUGAGCGCUGAGCAACUUGGCUUAUAUCCUGUCUUGAAGACCCGCAGCUCGACCGCCUUCAGAAUCGGAAUUCGUGGGAGAUCCAUGUCGUUUGUGGUGCAUCACACGGGCUUCAUUAUUAUGUUAAACGAUUAAACAGACGAUUAGGCAUAUUGUCCUCCCUCUUGGCGCGUCGAAACCACCUUAUCUGGAUGUAAUCGUGUUACCAAUUUGCUUCGACGUGUCUUGAGAUAAUGUCCAACAAUGCGCCUCACGCGUUAAGCGACUCGCAUAUCCCACAAUCUAAAUCCGUCCCAAUUUCUGACGGUUGUUGGAAUUCCAACCCAGACUGCGCAGUCCAAGUCUAGCAGCAUUCGUCUGGUUUGCUCAGCCAUCGCGAAAUAUUUCACAACAUUUAGCAGCAUUGUUCGGUGGAUGCGUAUUUCAAAUUGGCCAUCCUUUGGCAAAACGUCUCAUCCGUCGGUCUCUGGGACAAAUAUCUCAUAAAAUAAUAGAACAUAUGCACGAGUGGAAAAAUGUCUCAUAGAAUUAAACAGCGAUGCAACACACCAUCAAGUGGAAAUUCCGAGAAGCGACAUGCUUUGUGGCACUUGGAAACAGAUUGGCUGCUUGUUCCUAUGAGAGCCGUGCGGUGUUAUGAAAAACAUCUUGUGGGAUAUGAUUAACCUGUUGGAGGCCAGCCGUUUCACAACUCUACAUUUUGAAAAUCGAAUUUUCUGUUGAUAAUUUGACACUAUCUGAAUUCAGGAAGGUGCAUCGCUUCGUAGAAUGGCUUUAUAUUAUUUGUAACUGAAUUUUGGAGUCCAAUUCUUUCAAAUCGGACAAAAACCCAUUUGAAAAACUGACAAUUAAAAUGUAGAUUUGUGGUUUGUAGAAUGCAUCAACUUGCUGACGAAAAAUAGAAAUUCAGUAAAACAUUGUA